GGAGACAGAGGUGGGGGCGGAGGGAGGCCCAGGGUUGGGAACACCUGGCCCAGGCCGGACGCCAGGGGCGGGGCGGAGCCAGCUGGAGGGCGCUGGGGUGACUCACCGAUCCCUGCCGACUCUGGCUCGCCAACUCCAGACUUCGGCGACGGCCCCCAGGAGCGACUCCCCGCCCCACGGGAACUUCGGAAUCCACCCGGGACUGACCGGCGCCUAACACUUAGGCUCCAGCGGGACCGGCAGGUCCGAGCUUGGCGAGGAUGCGCGCUCCUCCGGCCUUGGGUGAGCAGCGCAGCCCGAGGCCAUCUCCCCGAGACGCUGAAGGGACCCUCUACUCCCAACCGGCGCGUCCGGCAUGCCGGAGCGCGGUGGAAAGGCUGGCCGCCGACCGCGCCAAGUACGCGCACAGCCCCCCUGGGUCAGGAGGGGCCCCCUCUUCCGCGGGCCGCAGCCCCGGGGCUGUCAGGGGGCAGUUAGGACUCGAGGCCCCCGCGGCCCUGGCCCCGGAGCCCGUGGCCCCGGCGCCCGUAGCUCGCAGGGCGGUCGCGCGGAAGCCCCUGAGGCCCGACUCGCUGGUGAUCUACCGGCAGAAAUGUGAGAUUGCGCGCGGAGGAGCCGGAGCCGACCGCUCCAGGGGUAGCCUGGUGAAGAAGCUUUUCCACGGACCAGGCAAGGAGAAGGCGCCGGGGCCGCUAGAGACGUGCCGGGUGGAGGCGGGGGAGGCCUCGCGCCCCAAGCCCUGCUCGGUGGCAGCCGCAGCGCCCGAGAGCCCGGGGUCUCCCCUCGCCCCGGCCGCCUCACUUUCACCCCCAGCGCAGGCCGGGACCUCAGCCGUGCCUGCCGCUACGCUCCCUGUCCUCGAGAGGCGGGUGGCCAAGCGAAGGGACCUGCAGCGUUCCCGGUCGGACCUCGGCUCCCGCUUCUCCACCGCCAGGCAAGAGGUGGACACCUUCUUCAAGUACUGCGGACUGGACCCUGAGGUAGUGGAGGCUCUUGGGAGGGAGAACUUCUCUGCCCAGUCCGACCACACCGCCCUCAAGGUGCGCAGCGUGAGCUUGGCCACCUCUGACAGUGGCUUCUCCCGGCAAAGUGAGGAUGGGCUGCUAGGGGAGGAGCUCGCUGAACAGGUGCCCAGCGCCACCUCUGUGGUUGAGAGGAAUGCCCGUAUCAUCAAGUGGCUGUACACCUGCAAGAAGGCCAACGAGACCCCAAGGCAGGGGCUGCAGGGCUCAUCGUGACCACUGUGCUUGAGGAAACCAGCCCCCAAGCUCUAGCUAGGACAAUUAGCACUGGCCUUGUCAACAUUUGAAGCCAACUAUCCCAUGAGUAAUUGGAGACAAAGAGAACUUCAAAAGCACAGAGAAAGGCCUGCAGAGAAAUUUGUUCCAUCUGAUGAUACAUCUUACUUCUCCUUGAUAAACUGGCUGACUUUUCACAAUUUCAAAUACAAGAAAAGGGGAAUAAAACACCCUGCUUGACAAGGCUUACAUAAUUUCCAAGAGUUUGAAAUUCUAUGGAGGAGAUGGGAAGACACACCCCAACUACUGGCUGAGUUACCACUGCUAACAGCAGAUCUACUGAGAAAUGUUCUUUUUGUUAAAAUGUAUCCACUUCCUGUUCUCACUGGGAAGCUGUGAAAAGAAAAGCUCUUUGGAAAUGUUUUCAGAGGCCUGUUUAUGACUGACUUGCUGACAUAAAUACUGCAGUGCCUUUUGACAAUAUCUAAAUUGACUUUUUAAAAGGAAAGCAAAACCCCCAAAAGAAGCUUGAAUGCUGUGGUAUUUUCUCAUUGUGCUAAUUUUCACUGCUUAAAGUAAUUUAACUAUGAGAAAGUAUUUUCUUAAAAUGAUAUGUGUUCACACACCAUAGCAUACCUAAAUUUCCAGAUAUCAUUACAAUGUAAACUGAAAUUAAUUCCCAAACUGUACAACUAAUUAUUUUGUUGAAUGAGUCAGAAAGCACAUUCAAAAUCACUUGAGGAUCACGAGGUCAUUUAAUUAAUGAUACUCACUGCUGGGUUGUAGCCAUGUGAAAAUACUCACAUAAGUGAGAUAAGUGAGAGCUGAGGUGCUUCGGUGAAGUUUUGUUGUUUUUUUUCUCUAAUGUUUCUCUAUGGUUUAGACAUUUGGCAAGGAAUCUUAGAAUGCUGUGGAUUCUGUAGUAGCAUUCACAGAGUGCAUUCCACAGUGUCUUCUUCCUCAGAAGAAGGUAGAAACAUGUUUCAUGUGGAGCAUGGGUGUGAAGGAAAAGUCUUACCUGUCUUGGAGCUGAGGUCUACACCUCAGAUUUGGCACCAAUCCACUCUUCUCUGCAGAAGGUGUGUUUCAAGCAAGAGGCAGCCUGCAGGGCUGGCAGGGUUCUUGGGUCUGAGUGUGAAUAUCAAGGAAGUGGACCCCUGAUUCUGAACUUGCCAUGAAACCCAUCGUAACAGGAUUUUAGAUUCAAAGGCUUCUGACAGAAAUUUUGUAUUGGUAAUAAACCCCUCAAAAUCAUCAUCCACACAACUGUUUCUCAAAAUACAUCUGUCCAAGAGCAAAAGUAUUUGAGAUAAGAAUAUGGGAAGAAAUGGGUUUCUCAAUGGUAAAGUCUUUUAUAAACCACUCACUUUUGAAACAAUAAUAGUUUAAAAUAUGUUCUGUACUUCUAACUUAUACUUGAGAGGAGAUAUUUGCAUGACAUAACUAUUUAUUUUUGCCUGGUGCUGGUGGCUCACACCUGUAAUCUUAGCUACUCAGAAGAAUGAGAUUGAAGAUUUUAGUUUGAAUUCAGCCUGGACAG